AGAGUUUGAUCCUGGCUCAGGACGAACGCUGGCGGCGUGCCUAACACAUGCAAGUCGAGCGGGAACCUCAGGAGGGGUAACCCUUCUGAGGGGAGAGCGGCGAACGGGUGAGUAACACGUGGGCAACCUGCCCCGGACACCGGGAUAACCCAGGGAAACCUGAGCUAAUACCGGAUACUCCGGCGUGAUCGCAUGGUCGCGCCGGGAAAGCUCCGACGGUCCGGGAUGGGCCCGCGGCCUAUCAGCUUGUUGGUGGGGUAACGGCCCACCAAGGCGACGACGGGUAGCUGGUCUGAGAGGACGGCCAGCCACACUGGGACUGAGACACGGCCCAGACUCCUACGGGAGGCAGCAGUAGGGAAUCUUGCGCAAUGGGGGAAACCCUGACGCAGCGACGCCGCGUGCGGGAUGAAGGCCUUCGGGUCGUAAACCGCUUUCAGCAGGGACGAAAUUGACGGUACCUGCAGAAGAAGGCCCGGCCAACUACGUGCCAGCAGCCGCGGUAAU
rnacentral:rRNA from 1 species